CCAGUUGAUUUCUUUCUGGUCACAAUCCACUUCCCAUAACAAUAAAUGGCAACACAGCUAUAACUAUGGUUCACCACUAGAUGGUGGAGGCAAGGCUUCUGUUGUUUUGGGGGAAAUGGACUCCUUUAAUCCUUUCUGGUAAUACAGUGAAAUGAGCUCGGAACAGCUGCAGGCAAUAGGCUCCCUUUUGUUCUCUUCUGGAAAUACACUUCCUACAAACACUAAUGAUUAGGUGUCCCCUCACACAUGCAUGCUGGUUUGUGGUCUCUCAGCCCACUCCUUCUUGGGGCUGUCUCCCCCUCCCAGCACAUCCACCCACAGGCUGGGGCAUCCUUCUGCAGGUCUCUGACACUGCAGCAUCUCUCAGCUCCAGCAAGCCUACCAGCUUUGCUUACCAACCCCUCCCCACUCUUUCCCUGCCACCUGUGUCCCUGGUUGCACAGAUCUAAACCCAGUGGGGAAUCAGUUUCUCAUGGGAUGACACAGGCUGUCCCCUGUCCUGAUGCCUGCUCCCUGGGAAAGUUUCAGCUCAGUCUCCCCUUGCUGGGGUCUGAGUCUCUGCCCUGUCUCUCCAGGGCAGCAGUUGUCUCCUCCCUAGCAUUUCUUCUUGUUUUGCCUCCCUCAGAUUUUUAUGGCUCAGUAGCAGCCAAUCAGAGCUCUCAGCUUGCAAUGGGGGCUCUGGUCACAAUGCAAACACUCCCAAUAAAAAGCAUGCACCAUGCAGAGCAUACCCUCCUGUCUGGUAAAGCUAUUGGACACUCUGCAAAAUUUCUGCCACCUUUUUCUUGCAGAGUUCUUAAGCACAGUUCACCCACUCAGCUUGCAGCCAGGUGAGCUUUGCAGCUGUUACAGAGUCAUCUGAAGAAAACAAUGAUACAGAAGAAGAAUACCUAGAUUAACAUUAUCCAGUGUAUGCCAUGGCACAGACUUGACUUCAAAUUUGAGUUGAAGCAUUUUAUUUUACUUAAAUGUGUUCCAUAAUCAUUUGUACCUUUGUUAUUAAUAAUAUUAAAUGUGACUUUGAAUAGAUAAAUGGUAAAACUUUC